rnacentral:rRNA from 1 species
GUGAAAUGCAUAGAUAUCCGGAGGAACCCCAAAGGCGGAGGCACUGUCCUGGCUCUUUCCUGACGCUCAGGGGCGAAAGCUAGGGGAGCGAACGGGAUUAGAUACCCCGGUAGUCCUAGCUGUAAACGAUGACCACUAGACGUUCGGGGUAUCGACCCCCUGAGUGUCGCAGCUAACGCGAGAAGUGGUCCGCCUGGGGAGUACGGUCGCAAGAUUAAAACUCAAAGGAAUUGACGGGGACCCGCACAAGCAGCGGAGCGUGUGGUUUAAUUCGAUGCAACGCGAAGCACCUUACCAGGGUUUGACAUGGCAGUGACCAGCUGAGAGAUCAGCCUUCCUUCGGGACACUGUCACAGGUGCUGCAUGGCUGUCGUCAGCUCGUGCCGUGAGGUGUUGGGUUAAGUCCCGCAACGAGCGCAACCCUCAUCGGUAGUUGGACCUGUCUACCGAGACUGCCGCGAUCAACGUGGAGGAAGGUGGGGAUGACGUCAAGUCAGCACGGCCCUUACAUCCUGGGCGACACACACGCUACAAUGGCGAGGACAACGAGUUGCCAACCCGCGAGGGGGAGCUAAUCUUGCAAACCUCGUCUCAGUUCAGAUUGCAGGCUGCAACUCGCCUGCAUGAAGAUGGAGUUGCUAGUAACCGUGAGUCAGCACAUCACGGUGAAUCCGUUCCCGGGUCUUGUACACACCGCCCGUCACACCACGAAAGUCGGCAACCCCUGAAGCCGCUGGGCUAACCCGCGAGGGAGGCAAGCGUAGAGGGAGGGGUCGGUGAAUGGGGUGAAGUCGUAACAAGGUAACCGU